rnacentral:misc_RNA from 1 species
UGAUAUUGGAAUUGCUAGAAAUAUAUGGAGGACGAUUGUGAGAUCAAGAAAGAUGUUACUGAAUUAAUAGGUAAUACCCCAAUGGUGUAUCUCAAUAAUAUUGUGGGUGGUUGCGUAGCUCGCAUUGCUGCCAAGCUUGAAAUGAUGGAACCUACAUCUAGUGUUAAAGACAGAAUUGCAUACAGCAUGAUCAAAGAUGCAGAAGAUAAGGGCUUGAUUACUCCAGGGAAGACGAUCCUCAUUGAACCUACCAGUGGUAACACGGGCAUUGGAUUGGCUUCA